rnacentral:rRNA from 1 species
CAGCAGCCGCGGUAAUACAGAGGGUGCGAGCGUUAAUCGGAUUUACUGGGCGUAAAGCGUGCGUAGGCGGCUUCUUAAGUCGGAUGUGAAAUCCAUGAGCUUAACUUAGGAAUUGCAUUCGAUACUGGGAAGCUAGAGUAUGGGAGAGGAUGGUAGAAUUCCAGGUGUAGCGGUGAAAUGCGUAGAGAUCUGGAGGAAUACCGAUGGCGAAGGCAGCCAUCUGGCCUAAUACUGACGCUGAGGUACGAAAGCAUGGGGAGCAAACAGGAUUAGAUACCCCUGUAGUCCCUGUCUCUUAUAA